rnacentral:rRNA from 1 species
UACGGAGGGGGCUAGCGUUGUUCGGAAUUACUGGGCGUAAAGCGCACGUAGGCGGCUUUGUAAGUUAGAGGUGAAAAGCCCGGGGCUCAACUCCGGAACUGCCUUUAAGACUGCAUCGCUAGAAUCCGGGAGAGGUGAGUGGAAUUCCGAGUGUAGAGGUGAAAUUCGUAGAUAUUCGGAAGAACACCAGUGGCGAAGGCGGCUCACUGGACCGGUAUUGACGCUGAGGUGCGAAAGCGUGGGGAGCAAACAGG